CCUACGGGAGGCUGCAGUGAGGAAUAUUGGUCAAUGGCCGGAAGGCUGAACCAGCCAAGCCGCGUGAGGGAGGAAGGCGCAGAGCGUCGCAGACCUCUUUUGCCGGGGGACAAAAGGCCGGACUCGUCCGGUCCUGAGGGUACCCGGAGAAAAAGCAUCGGCUAACUCCGUGCCAGCAGCCGCGGUAAUACGGAGGAUGCGAGCGUUAUCCGGAUUCAUUGGGUGUAAAGGGAGCGUAGACGGCUUGGCAAGCCAGAUGUGAAAGGCUGGGGCUCAACCUCAGGACUGCAUUUGGAACUGUCAUGCUAGAGUGUCGGAGAGGCAGGUGGAAUUCCUAGUGUAGCGGUGAAAUGCGUAGAUAUUAGGAGGAACACCAGUGGCGAAGGCGGCCUGCUGGACGAUGACUGACGUUGAGGCUCGAAAGCGUGGGGAGCAAACAGGAUUAGAUACCCUAGUAGUC
rnacentral:rRNA from 1 species